ACCAGACUCCUACGGGAGGCAGCAGUGGGGAAUAUUGCACAAUGGGGGAAACCCUGAUGCAGCGACGCCGCGUGAGUGAAGAAGUAUUUCGGUAUGUAAAGCUCUACCAGCAGGGAAGAAAAUGACGGUACCUGACUAAGAAGCCCCGGCUAACUACGUGCCAGCAGCCGCGGUAAUACGUAGGGGGCAAGCGUUAUCCGGAUUUAUUGGGUGUAAAGGGAGCGUAGACGGUGAUGCAAGUCAGAAGUGAAAGCCCGGGGCUCAACUCCGGGACUGCUUUUGAAACUGUGUGACUGGAGUGCAGGAGAGGUAAGCGGAAUUCCUGGUGUAGCGGUGAAAUGCGUAGAUAUCAGGAGGAACACCAGUGGCGAAGGCGGCUUACUGGACUGUAACUGACGUUGAGGCUCGAAAGCGUGGGGAGCAAACAGGAUUAGAUACCCUGGUACCA
rnacentral:rRNA from 1 species